UCCCCGAUUUCCGGGGCAGUCUCCCUAGAGUUCCCGGCCGAACCGCUGGCAACUAGGGAUAGGGGUUGCGCUCGUUGCGGGACCUAACCAAACAUCUCACGACACGAGCUGACGACGGCCAUGCAGCACCUGUCACCUUGCUCAAUAAAGCACUCUCUGCUUUCGCAGAAAUUCAAGGGAUGUCAAGCCCUGGUAAGGUUCUUCGCUUAUCAUCGAAUUAAAGAACAUCAUCCGCUACUUGUGCGGGUCCCCGUCAAUUCCUUUAUGUUUUAAUCUUGCGAUCGUACUCCACAGGCGGGAUGCUUAACGCGUUAGCUUCGCUACUGAAGGGGUCGAUACCUCCAACAGCUAGCAUCCAUAGUUUACAGCGUGGACUAC
rnacentral:misc_RNA from 1 species